rnacentral:rRNA from 1 species
CGGGUGAGUAGCGUGGCGGACGGGCGAGUAACACGUAAUCAAGCUGCCUGCGAGACGGGGAUAACUCGGGGAAACCCGAAGUAAGACCCGAUGGUCUCACGAGAUCGCAUGGUCAUGUGAGUAAAUGGACGGGACCCUCCGGGGCCGUCUGCUUGCAGAGGUGAUUGCGGCCCAUCAGUUAGUUGGUAGGGUAAUGGCCUACCAAGACAACGACGGGUAGCCGGCCUAAGAGGGUGGUCGGUCGCACUGGGACUGAGACACUGCCCAGACUCCUACGGGAGGCUGCAGUCGAGAAUCUUCCGCAAUGGGCGAAAGCCUGACGGAGCGACGCCGCGUGGAGGACGAAGGCCUUCGGGUUGUAAACUCCUGUCACGAGUUAAGAAGUCCGUUGGACGAACAGUCCGGCGGAUUGACGUAAGCUCGAGAGGAAGCACUGGCUAACUCUGUGCCAGCAGCCGCGGUAAUACAGAGAGUGCGAACGUUGUUCGGAAUUACUGGGCUUAAAGCGCGCGUAGGCGGCGUAACAAGUGUCGGGUGAAAUCCCACGGCUCACCCGUGGAACUGCCCGGCAAACUG